AGCAGCCGCGGUAAUUCCAGCUCCAAUAGCGUAUAUUAAAGUUGUUGCAGUUAAAAAGCUCGUAGUUGAAUUUCGGGGUUCUACCGUUGGUCGGGCUAUUGUCUGUACUGGCGUGUAGAAUUUCUACCUUCUGGGGAACUAUCAUGUUAUUAAUUUAGCGUGGUAGGAAACCAGAACCUUUACCUUGAAAAAAUUAGAGUGUUCAAAGCAGGCUUAUGUCUGAAUACAUUAGCAUGGAAUAAUAAAAUAGGACGGUGGUCCUGUUUUGUUGGUUUCUGAAUCACCGUAAUGAUUAAUAGGGAUAGUUGGGGGCAUUAGUAUUCAAUUGUCAGAGGUGAAAUUCUUGGAUUUAUUGAAGACUAACUACUGCGAAAGCAUUUGCCAAGGAUGUUUUCAUUAAUCAAGAACGAAAGUUAGGGGAUCGAAGACGAUCAGAUACCGUCGUAGUCUUAACCAUAAACUAUGCCGACUAGGGAUCGGAUGAUGUUAAUUUUAUAAUGACUCAUUCGGCGCCUUACGG
rnacentral:rRNA from 1 species